UUGUUUUUUAUCCACUGUUUGGUAUGUUGUAUUAAAAAUGACAUGCAUUGCAUAAUUUCUAAGAAGAAGUUGUUUGUUUACAAAAAUACCCUCCAUCUUAUUUAGCCUCCAUCUUCUUGCUCCUUUAUCCGGUUGACACGUCAAUAUCCAAUUCUUACAUCAAGUAUUAAAUAAUUUUUUGAGGCUCUAGUUUUCAAUUCUUUGAAAUAUAUUUCCUGAUUUCUUCUUCUAAAUCUUCUUGCUGAUAUUGGACAAUAGUUGAUGAUCGGUAAGAAAACCUAAUUUUGCCAUAAUAAAAAUGAAAAGAAUUAAUAUACAAAAUAUUUCAAUUAGAAAAAGGAGUCUAUGAGCAAAAGUUUAUAAUUUUCAAGCACAUAAAGAGAAACAAAUGAACCCAACGAAUAUUUGGAAAGAGGACCUUAGGGCUAUUUUUGCGAAUUUCACUAUUUUGUCCUAGGAUAAUAAUCCCAGCAUUAAUUAUCUCACCCCCUACAAGGUAUAAGUUAUCCCCGUACUAAUUUUAAUCCCGGGAUAACUUACCCAGGUUUGGUAACCAAACAAGGUAUAAGGUGGUAUUAAAUUUUUAUCCCAGCACUAUUUUUACUUAUCCCUUAUACCAAACGACCCCUUAGUUGCUUAUAUUCACUGAAACGUUUAGCGGUUUUUGUCUGUUCAGUUACUGACUGCAUGUGUCUUAUCUGUUUUGUUUUCUCUGGAACCUUUGCCUGUAAUUUAGGACCAACUUGUUACCAGAGAUAUUCAUUCUUUUUUUUCAAAAAAAAAUAAUACCACCAACUGUUGGUCGGGGAGGGGGUGGUUAGGCCUAAACUCCUACCUGUAUAUUUAUCAUCAAAAGUGCAAGAAGAUGGAUAUAAAAUCUGUGCUACAACAGAAGAAAUGGACAUGAUCAUUUCUAUAUACAUGUGAUUAGCUUAAGCUUCGCCUCAUCACAAGGUUCAAGAGUCUUUCAUGACUGUUGUGUGCUCUGAUUUUGAGUCUUCUCUUUUUCUUCAAGUAUGUCCCCCACCCUCAACUUAUAUUUUUGCACCCUCAUAUUACUGUCUUCUCAAAUCAUUAGAGUAUUAGUGCAAUUUGAAUUCCUUCUUUAGGAUCUAAGGAAAGAGAUCUUUUGCUUCAUGCAACAGUGUAAAAUUUGGUCGUAUUCAUCUUAAUCUUAAUAAUAUGGAGAAAAGGAGCAAAAAUACCCUAAAUUAAUAUUCUGAUAUCUGUUAUUGGUAUAUCUUUAAAUGAGCUACCUUUUCUUGCCAAUUAGAUGGCAAGGCGGAACAAUUUUGUGCGUUUUCCUUUCCUUCUCUUGCUGUGGAGAAACGACAGGAGUUUACGACAUUGGUGUGUGAUUUGUGCAGUGGUUGGUAUUUUUUCUGUUUUCAUCUAUAGCUACUAUUAAUCCAAAAGAUGUCAACUUUCAGGGACGCGUGUUUGGCAUAGUCUAUUGUAGGGCCAUGAGAGGCAGCAGAUUUAUCUUUUAGCUUCACUCAGAGGCAGCAGUUUUAUCUUUUAGCUUCACUCUAUUUUACCGGAGCUUGCCGCAAGUUGGUAUAUUUCUUUGUGAGCAAGCCCUUUUUUGCUGGAUUUUCCAAAUACUGAACGCAAUACCAUUUAAGUACUAAUCUUAAUUUAAGCAAUUAAUUUAAUGGUGUCGCUCCUGGCAUUUCCUUGAUUUGGUAUUAUUUCUCAUAAACACACACCUCGUUGCUUAAACUUCCCUACUAAUAAAUUAAUUACCACAAAAGUAUUGUGGCAAGUUAAAUAACUUGAAUGUGUAUCACAUUGAUUUGCUUGGUCAAUUUAUUGCGAUUCAUCUGAAGUUCUGAGUUUCAUUAGAGUUCUCUUUAUCAAGAUGAGAGAAAGUUUCUCAUCCUCAGUGAUUUGGAGUAUUAAGACGGUCAGGAACGCGAUAUCGUACAGACCCAUAAGGUAUUUAGAUGUAUUUGCUGGUUAUUACUAUUACUAUAUCAUAAUCACAUCAGUUGUUUGUGAAGCUUUAAGUUACUGACAAUUUUAAUCAAAUAUUAGCUGUUAAUACAUUACUGUACACUACUGAAUCUGAUUUCCUGAAUCUAAGUGCCAAUAACAUACUGUUGUAGAUAGAUCUUUCGAAUGGUUAUAGGCUGUCUUCUGCUCUCAUCGAUGUUAUCUUAGCUCUUUAAUUAUAGAAAGGAAUAAUGUAAAGCUACCUUAUAACGUUUUCUUACUGUGUUCUGUCUCUCCUUCGUAAUGGUUUACUGACAUUUUAAGGGACACAAUCUUCUUGGACUUGGAUUCCUCAUGUUAUGGUACCCAUGGUAUCAUCUUCGUUCUUCAUUUUUUUUCCCCUUAAAUGCACACUAUUACUAAACUUCCCUACCCAUAAUAAUUGCCACAGUUAAACAACAUGAAAUGUGGAUAUUAUUAUACUGCAUGCUAAUUUGCUGUGUAUCAAUUGUUUAUGACUUUUAUGAAGUGCUGUGAAUCGUAAGGAAUUUGUUGGUGGUGAUAUGGAAGAAAUUAUGUCUUUGGUAUGUUUCCCAUCCUGUGUAGUUCGGACUAAUAAGUGGUGACAGUUGGACUCAUGAACGCAACAUCGUGGAGACUCAUCAGUUGUCCAGAUUUAUCCAGGAGCAAUAACUGUCUCAUAGUCACAUCAGUUGUUUGUCAAGUAUUAAUCACAUGUGAUAACUGUGAUCACAUCUUAGCUGUUAAUAGAGCACAGUAUAUUACAGAAUCCGAUUACUUGAUAGAAGAACAGAAAACGGGAAUCUGAUUAAGUGAAUCUUACUCCUGAUUAGAUACUCUCUUCAGUGAUACCUUAGCUUAUUAUUUAUUGAAAGGGAAAAAUGUAAAGCUAUCUUACACCAGUUUUUUCUGACUGUAUCUUGUCUCUCCGUGUGCAUUGGUGUUACUGGCGUUCCUUUAGUCCAACGGUCCUCUUGGACUUGGUGCUUCAUGUAACGGUGCUCAUGGUAUCAGCAAUUGUUUUUCUGUUUGGGCUAAGGUUGUGGUGGACCUAAGUUCUUCACGUACUAAGGUACUCCGGUAUAAGCACCUGACAGUCAAGUGGAACUAAGUGUGGGGGCGUUCUUUUGCAAACAAUAUCAGUCACAAAGUUAGUAAUGGUAGGAAAAUAUCUUUCUGGAAUGGCAGCUGGGUUGGCUCUCAGCCCCUUGAGGAGAUUUAUCCAGAUCUAUUCAACCUCACUCAAGCACCUGAUGCAACUAUUCAUGAGACUUCGGGGCAGCAGGGCUGGAUUAUAAACUUCAGAAGAUUACUAACUGACUGGGAGAUUAAUAGGAUUGCUAAGCUUUUCCAGGUACUGGAACAAUUUAUUCAAGGAACAAAAGCUAAUGAAAGAUAGAUUAAAUUUGAAGCAUAGAAGAUGUAAAUCAUUUACUAGACAUUAUUGGAUCCUUGAAAGAGUAUCAAGCCACUUUUGGGUUUUGCCUUUUUGAAUUGUAAAUAUGGUUCUCAGCAGCGUCUUUGUGCUGCGGAUCUGUAAUAUCACUGUUUCCUUUCUCAAAGUGUCCUUUCCACAGUGUGGUCUACUUGAUAGCAAUCAUAGAACCCUUGCAAAUUAAGGUGCUCUUUUUAUUA